UUGACCCGUAAUCCGGGUUGCGGACAGUGUCUGGUGGGUAGUUUGACUGGGGCGGUCUCCUCCUAAAGAGUAACGGAGGAGCACGAAGGUUGGCUAAUCCUGGUCGGACAUCAGGAGGUUAGUGCAAUGGCAUAAGCCAGCUUGACUGCGAGCGUGACGGCGCGAGCAGGUGCGAAAGCAGGUCAUAGUGAUCCGGUGGUUCUGAAUGGAAGGGCCAUCGCUCAACGGAUAAAAGGUACUCCGGGGAUAACAGGCUGAUACCGCCCAAGAGUUCAUAUCGACGGCGGUGUUUGGCACCUCGAUGUCGGCUCAUCACAUCCUGGGGCUGAAGUAGGUCCCAAGGGUAUGGCUGUUCGCCAUUUAAAGUGGUACGCGAGCUGGGUUUAGAACGUCGUGAGACAGUUCGGUCCCUAUCUGCC
rnacentral:rRNA from 1 species